UACGAGGGGGGCAAGCGUUGUUCGGAAUUAUUGGGCGUAAAGAGCGUGUAGGCGGUCCGAUAAGUCCGCUCUGAAAGCCCGGGGCUCAACCCCGGGAGGCGGGCGGAUACUGUCGGGCUAGAGUCCGGAAGAGGCAAGUGGAAUUCCUGGUGUAGCGGUGAAAUGCGCAGAUAUCAGGAGGAACACCGAUGGCGAAGGCAGCUUGCUGGGACGGUACUGACGCUGAGACGCGAAAGCCAGGGGAGCAAACGGG
rnacentral:rRNA from 1 species